rnacentral:lncRNA from 10 species
AUGCCACUGGUGUGGGUUUGCGACGCGGAGGGCACCCUGUCCUUGAGGCGCCCAGUGACCCUCCGCGAUUCCUUAGGGCCUCAGGGCUUCCCAGCGCCGCCCUUGCCCUCUGCCUGGACUCGGGGCGUCGGAGCCUCGACUGUUAGGUAGCAGAUGUCAGUUUGCCAGUGCCUGGGGCUAGGAGGACCCGCGGCGCCCUCUAAUGGUGCCGGCGUGGAUAGGCCGGGAACUGUCCACUUUCCAGUCAGUCUGGCGGCGAAGGUUGGAGGCCUGGGAGCGGCCCCUGUGCGGACUGAGUACACUUUUUCCUCUCUUUGUCGUUUCCAGAACUAAGUUUGUGGGAAAAUGGUUUUCGUUAAGCACCUACCGAAGACCAAGCUCUGUCUCAACUUAAAUGUUACUAUUCUGAGAGGAUUUCUGUGACCACCCUAUCUGAAGCAGUGCCGGCGAAAAGGACACACUUCACACUUAUUCUCAUGUUACUCUGUUUUGUUUUGUUUUGUUGUUUUGUUUUUGUGACAGUUUUGCUCUGUCGCCCCGGCUGGAGUGCAGUGGCGCGAUCUUGGCUCACUGCAGCCUCCGCCUCCCGGGUUCAAGCGAUUCUCCUGCCUCAGCCUCCCGAGUAUCUGGGAUUACAGGCGUCCGCCACCACGCCCGGCUAAUUUUUGUAUUUUUAGUAGAGACGGGAUCUCACUAUGUUGGUCAGGCUGGUCUUCAACUCCUGGCCUCAAGUGAUCCGCCAGCCUUGGCCUCCCAAAGUGCUGGGAUUACAGGCGUGAGCCACUGCACCCGGCCUUGUAUUUUCUUUGUAGCAUCUGUCACUUACAGUGUUUAUGUAUUUGUGUCCUUGUUUGACAGCUCCCUGAACUAGAAUGAGGGUUUCCGACUGGGCGCGGUGGCUCACGCCUGUAAUCCCAGCACUUUGGGAGGCCGAGGCGGGCGAAUCACGAGGUCAGGAGAUCAAGACCAUCCUGGCCAACAUGGUGAAACCCCAUCUCUUCUAAAAAUACAAAAAUUAGCCGGGCAUGGUGGUGCGUGCCUAUAAUCCCAGCUGCAGCUACUCAGGAGGCUGAGGCAGGAGAAUCACUUUAACUUGGGAGGCGGAGGUUGCAGUGAGCUGAGAUCACACCAUUGCACUCCAGCCUGGGCAACAGAGUGAGACUGUGUCUCAAAAAACAAACAAACAAAAGGCUGUGGGCUGGGCACAGUGACUCACACCUGUAAUCCCAGCACUUUGGGAAGCUGAGGCAGGCAAAUCACCUGAGGUCAGGAGUUCAAGACUAGCCUGACCAAUAUGAUGAAACCCCGUCUCUACUAAAAAUAUAAAACUUAGGCUUGGCGCAGUGGUCCAUGCCUGUAAUCCCAGCACUUUGGGAGGCCAAGGCAGGUGGAUCACCUGAGGUCGGGAGUUCAAGACCAGCCUGACCAACAUGGAGAAACCCCGUCUCUACUAAAAAUACAAAAUUAGCCAGACUUGGUGGCGUAUACCAGUAAUCCCAACUACUCAGGAGGCCAAGGGAGAAGAAUCGCUUGAACCCGGGAGGCGGAGGUUGUGGUGAGCUGAGAUUGCGCCACUGCACUCCAGCCUGGGCAACAAGAACGGAACUCCAUCUCAAAAAGAAAAAAAAAAACAAAAAUUAGCUGGGCAUGGUGACAUACACCUGUAAUCCCAGCUAUUCAGGAGGCUGAGAGAGGAAAAUUGCUUGAACCCGGGAGGCAGAGGUUGCGGUGAGCCGAGAUCACGCCAUUGCCUCCAGCCUGAGCAACAAGAGCGAAACUCUGUCUCAAAAAAAAAAAAAAAAAGAAAAACCAAGCUGUGCCACAACCACCUUGGGCACGUGUCAUCAGGACCUCCUAAGGCUGUGUCAUGUCCUUGACCUUGGCAAAAUAAACUUUCUAAAUUGAUUGAGACCUGUCUCAGAUAUUUUGGGUUCACAUAGGUGUGAGUCACUAAGCCAGACCUAGCUCCACUUUAUACAUGAGGAAAAUGAGGUUCAAUAAUCUGCUCAAGAUUGAGUCAGAAUUUGAACCCAGGCAGGCUGGGCAUAUGAGUUAGUGCUGCACUGUAUAUAAACAGCUCUGUUACAGGAAACUCUUAACCCCACAGACUGAGGUUCCUGUUACUCACUUUGUAGCUAGCUAUACUUAUUUUUCAUAGUACUUAACAUCAUAAUUAAUUAGCUGUGUCAUUAUACAUUUCAUGGCUAUCUUCCCCACAGGAGUCUAAGCUCACUGUAUUCCAGUCCCUGGCACACAAGGGGGGCUUAUUAAAUAUUUAUUAAAUGAAUAUGGCCAAGCGCAGUGGCUCAUAUUUGUAAUCCCAGCACUUUGGGAGGCUGAGGAGGAUGAUCACUUGAGGUCAGGAGUUCGAGACCAGCCUGGGCAAGAUAGUGAAACCACGUCUCUACCAAAAAUACAAAAAUUAGCUGGGCGUGGUGGCACACGCCUGUAAUCCCAGCUACUCUGGAGGCUGAAGCAGGAGAAUCACUUGAACCCGGGAGGUGGAGGUUGCAGUGAGCUGAGAUCAUGCCACUGUACUCCAGCCUGGGUGACAGAGUGAGACUUCAUCUCAAAAAUAAAA